UACGUAGGGUGCAAGCGUUAAUCGGAAUUACUGGGCGUAAAGCGUGCGCAGGCGGUGAUGUAAGACAGUUGUGAAAUCCCCGGGCUCAACCUGGGAACUGCAUCUGUGACUGCAUCGCUGGAGUGCGGCAGAGGGGGAUGGAAUUCCGGCGUGUAGCAGUGAAAUGCGUAGAUAUGCGGAGGAACACCGAUGGCGAAGGCAAUCCCUGGGCCUGC
rnacentral:rRNA from 1 species